UUCGACGAGAAGCAAAAUGUCGUGACCAUCACGGUGGUGUGCUGCACCCCGAGAAGAUCCUUUGUGCAUUUUUAAUUUGGACUAAUUGGCUACCCUGCAUUUUUAAUGUCAAUCAUGAGGGAACUUUUGUGCAACUGUAACGUGCCUGCUAAGUCACAGGUUUGAAUCCUAGAAAUAACCUUUUUGCUUGUGGAGAUGUCUUCAUAUAUCUACUAGCUGCAAACCCAGCAGUUGGGAGCCUUAUGAAUUGGAUCCAACCUUUUUUCUUGAAGUCAUCGUCUGUGAGCCUAUGCUGAGAUUUCAUUUAUACAACAUUUUAAACAUCAUCACAAGGAAAACACAAGUCCAGAAAAAUAGCAGUUGCACUUGGAGUUAGUCUUAGUUGUGCUUCUCUCAUGGUUUUGCUCUUUGAGAUCUUUUGGUAUAGACAUAAACGACAGCACCAGGCCAUCCUGUUUAUUGGUGAAUAUAAGGAAGAGGGAAUUGUCAGCUUGGAAAAUCUCAAGACUUUCACGUUCAGAGAGCUCCAACAGGCAACAGAUAGUUUCAGUUCCAAGAACAUACUUGGGGCUGGAGGUUUUGGCAAUGUUUAUAGGGGAACAGAUAUCUUUUUAAA